UAGAAGCAAUGUCUGUAAGAACACAGAUUUUGAAUUUGCAAGAGCUAGUAUUUUCAGAAUAUGUACAAAUAUGGGCUAGGCCGGGUAAUACUGGGGGAUUUGCAUCUAUACCCGCUUUUUGUAUCAUGUUUUAACUUGUGCCUGCUUUACAAAAAAAUAAUUAUAAGUGUACCCACUUUUUCGUAUAACUUCAGCAUACGGGGC
rnacentral:lncRNA from 1 species